GAUGAACGCUGGCGGCGUGCCUAAUACAUGCAAGUCGAGCGAACAGAUGAGGAGCUUGCUCCUCUGACGUUAGCGGCGGACGGGUGAGUAACACGUGGAUAACCUACCUAUAAGACUGGGAUAACUUCGGGAAACCGGAGCUAAUACCGGAUAAUAUAUUUAACCGCAUGGUUCAAUAGUGAAAGACGGCUUUGCUUUCACAUAUAGAUGGAUCCGCGCUGCAUUAUCUAGUUUGUAAGGUAACGGCUUACCAAGUCAACGAUUCGUAGCCGACCUGAGAGGGGGAUCGGCCACACUGGAACUGAGACACGGUCCAGACUCCUACGGGAGGCAGCAGUAGGGAAUCUUCCGCAAUGGGCGAAAGCUUGACGGAGCAACGCCGCGAGAGUGAUGAAGGUCUUCGGAUCGUAAAACUCUGUUAUUAGGGAAGAACAAAUGUGUAAGUAACUAUGCACGUCUUGACGGUACCUAAUCAGAAAGCCACGGCUAACUACGUG
rnacentral:rRNA from 1 species